AAUAAAUAUGGAGGGCAGUGUAAAGCUCAGGGCCCUUGUCCACUAGAGACAAGGUGCCCUCCGACCCCUUCUUCCAAAUAUACUCUUUUGCCUCUUGUCUUUUAUUCCCGUGUUUGCCCCCUUUGUUCAGUCCCCCUAGGUCCAUGCAGGUUACAUAGUGGUGCCCCAAACAGUGACACAAUUGGGUUCUCAACAAGUGGUGACUCAGAACAGGGACGCCAAGGAUGCCAACAAGUGGCGUCUGAACACGGGACUUCGACGAUGUGAACAAAAAAGAUCUGCUGGAGCAGAGAAGCUGAAAUUGACAAGGCAAACGGGGACCCCAGGAUGAGUCUGCCGGCAGCAUAUAUAAGGCAGGGACUAUAGGAAAUGAAGGUGAACUCGUGGAGAUUUUGGAGAGAAUUUAAUGAAGAGGCUGUUUACCAAGGAUCUCUCUCUGUCUCCGAGGCUGGAGUGCAAUGUUGCAAUCAGGGCUCACUGCAGCCUCGACCUCCUGGGCUCAACUGAUCUUCGUACCACAGCCUCAUGAGUAACUGGGACUACAGAUAGUAUCUCAUGAUAUGAAUGGUCCUGGAUUUACUUACACAUCCUCCUUUGGAUGAGCAAAAAGUAAAUUUUUCACAGUGAUAGACAUUUGUAGUGCUUUUUAAAGGCACUGGUUCUGGUGGACACUGAGAGACAAUUUUUAUUUGCUGCACGUGGAAAGGACAACAACAUACCUGGACAGAAAUGCCUCGAGGAUGUACUGAAGGCCCCUCUCACUUUUCACAGCCAUAACUGUAAGUUUCCUGGGGCCUCUCCAGAAGACAAGCAGAUGCCGCUAUGCUUCCUGAACAGCCCACAGAACUAGAUGGGGUUUCACCAUGUUAGCCAGGAUGGUCUCGAUCUCCUGACCUCGUGAUCCACCCGCCUUGGCCUCCCAAAGUGCUGGGAUUACAGGUGUGAGCCACCGCGCCUCGCCAAUGGUCUUCUGGUUU
rnacentral:lncRNA from 1 species